rnacentral:rRNA from 1 species
UGCAGCAACGCCGCGUGAGGGAUGACGGCCUUCGGGUUGUAAACCUCUUUUAAAGGGAAGAAGCGAAAGUGACGGUACCUGCAGAAAAAGCACCGGCUAACUACGUGCCAGCAGCCGCGGUAAUACGUAGGGUGCAAGCGUUGUCCGGAAUUAUUGGGCGUAAAGAGCUCGUAGGCGGUUUGUCGCGUCUGCUGUGAAAUCCCGAGGCUCAACCUCGGGCUUGCAGUGGGUACGGGCAGACUAGAGUGCGGUAGGGGAGAUUGGAAUUCCUGGUGUAGCGGUGGAAUGCGCAGAUAUCAGGAGGAACACCGAUGGCGAAGGCAGAUCUCUGGGCCGUAACUGACGCUGAGGAGCGAAAGCAUGGGGAGCGAACAGGAUUAGAUACCCUGGUAGUCCAUGCCGUAAACGUUGGGCGCUAGAUGUAGGGACCUUUCCACGGUUUCUGUGUCGUAGCUAACGCAUUAAGCGCCCCGCCUGGGGAGUACGGCCGCAAGGCUAAAACUCAAAGGAAUUGACGGGGGCCCGCACAAGCGGCGGAGCAUGCGGAUUAAUUCGAUGCAACGCGAAGAACCUUACCAAGGCUUGACAUACACCGGAAACGGCCAGAGAUGGUCGCCCCCUUG